AACGAACGCUGGCGGCAGGCCUAACACAUGCAAGUCGAGCGAGGACUUCGGUUCUAGCGGCGGACGGGUGCGUAACGCGUGGGAAUGUGUCCUUAUCUACGGAAUAGCCUUGGGAAACUGGGAGUAAUACCGUAUAAGCACUUGUGGGGAAAGAUUUAUCGGAGAAGGAUCAGGCAGCGUUGGAUUAGGUAGGUGGUGUGGUGAUGGCCUACCAAGCCGGCGAUCCAUAGCUGGUUUGAGAGGAUGAUCAGUCACACUGGGACUGAGACACGGCCCCGACUCCUGCGAGAAGCAGCGAUGGGUGAUCUUUGGCCAUGGGCGCAAUCCUGAUCCAGCCAUGCCGCGUGAGUGAUGAACGCCUUAGGGUUGUAAUUCUCUUUCAGCUAGGAAUAUAAUGACGGUACCUGCAGAAGAAGCCCCGGCUAACUCCGUG
rnacentral:rRNA from 1 species